UCCUCUUCAACGCUGCGUUUCCAUGCUACAAACAGAGAGUUUGCGCGCCAAUCUCUUGAAGGCGACCUCGCGUCCCUUCAUAAUUGCAUGUGAGAAAUUCGGAGUAACAUCUUCACCAAACACCCCAGUCUCCUGCUUGCGGGAAUGACGGGUCUGCCCGCGAGGGUCUGGCGUGAUUUCACGCUUGCAACUGGCAUCAGAAAAGCAGGGCUCAGGCCGGCCUCGUGUAUACCUUGCCUUCGGUGGGGGAAGACGGGUCGGACUUGAUGUUCCCUCUGGGAGAGUCAUUGCGAAGAUUGUGCACUGCACUUGAGUGCGAUACGCAGCGUCUGGCCUUCCCGAUCAGCUUCGGCUGGUCGGAGACUUGACAAUUCAAUUCCGAUCAUUCUGUUGAGGA
rnacentral:RNase_P_RNA from 2 species